rnacentral:tRNA from 1 species
GCCUCCGUAGCUCAGAGGAAGAGCAACCGACUCUUAAUCGGUGGGCCUGGAUUUCGAAAUUCCCCGGAGGCA